rnacentral:lncRNA from 1 species
CAUGGUGAUGAUGAUGAUGGUGAUGAUGAUGGAGGUGAUGAUGAUGAUGGAGGUGACAAUGGUGACAAUGGUGAUGGUGAUGGUGAUGAUGUUGAUGGUGAUGAUGAUGAUGAUGAUGAUGGAGGUGACAAUGGUGAUGAUGAGGAUGGAGGUGACAAUGGUGAUGAUGAUGAUGGAGAUGACGAUGGUGAUGAUGAUGAUGACGGAGGUGACGAUGGUGAUGAUGGAGAUGAUGACGAUGGAGGUGACGAUGGAGGUGACAAUGGUGAUGUUGAUGAUGGAGAUGAUGAUGGUGAUGAUGAUGAUGGAGGUGACAAUGGUGAUGAUGAUGAUGAUGAUGAUGGAGGUGAUGAUGGUGAUGAUGGUGAUGAUGAUGAUGAUGGAGGUGCCGAUGAUGAUGAUGAUGAUGGUGGAGGUGACGAUGGUGUUCAUGACGAUGAUGGAUGUGAUGAUGGUGAUGAUGAUGAUGGAGGUGACGAUGGUGAUGAUGAUGAUGAUGAUGGAGGUGAUGAUGGUGAUGAUGAUGGAGAUGACGAUGGUGAUGAUGAUGAUGAUGAUGG